rnacentral:sRNA from 12 species
UCCUAGCUCGUGCAUUCCAAUUGUUGAAUGCAAAGAGUAGCUGGAACUACACGCCUUUCCGCUAUGGCAGCUUGCUGCUAUAAAAUGCACCCAUGACAGCUAAUGCCUGAAAUGGUGGUGAAAACAGAAAGUGGAAUGGCUACUUAGG